AGAGUUUGAUCCUGGCUCAGAUUGAACGCUGGCGGCGUGCUUAACACAUGCAAGUCGUGCGAGAAAGGGGGCUUCGGUCCCUGAGUAGAGCGGCGCACGGGUGAGUAGCGCGUGGAUAAUCUCCCCAGAAGUUCGGGAUAACGGCGGGAAACUGCCGCUAAUACCGGAUACGCUCCAAUUUCGGUUGGGGGAAAGGCGGCCUCUGUUUACAAGCUGUCGCUUCUGGAUGAGUCCGCGUCCCAUUAGCUUGUUGGUGGGGUAAUGGCCUACCAAGGCUACGAUGGGUAGCUGGUCUGAGAGGAUGAUCAGCCACACUGGAACUGAAACACGGUCCAGACUCCUACGGGAGGCAGCAGUGGGGAAUAUUGCGCAAUGGGGGAAACCCUGACGCAGCGACGCCGUGUGAGGGAUGAAGGCUUUCGGG
rnacentral:rRNA from 1 species